ACAUAAAGAUUUUUCAGUCAAUAGCAUACACUGAACAUUGCUUCUAUAUAAAGAGCAGUGUUUCUCAAAGUGUGGUCCUUGGAACAGCAGCAUCAGUAGCAUCGGCUUGCAGAGCUCAAACCAUUACACCAUUCAGAAGCUGGCUUUGGUAUUACUUCAAGUUAUUCAAAACAGUCACCACUUGCUGAGCCUCUGAUGUCUCAUCUGUUGAAUGGGUACAUUUUCUUCCUGAUCCUUCCACCUCUAAACUUGUCUAUUUCCAAGGAUCUAUGGCAUCCAGGCAUAUGAUUUCAAGAGAGAAGGCUGAAAAGGAAGGUGACUGGAAUAUUAAGAACUGUGAGAUAUUCUGAGGAAACUCUAAUUUGUAAAUUGGUAGAAAUGCCAGUAAUUUGUUGGGAAUUGAAGACCCUCUGUAUUCAAGAGCGAAGCUUGGCAGCUGUGCACUGUUGUUUUAUAAAUCAAUAUUACAUCUGAAGGUGGUGUUUGAAUGUUUGUGUCAUUGGGGUUUGUCUCCAACAUAGUCCUGUGACAAGAAAUGUUCAAACAAAACAAACACAAUCCCUUCCCUGUCCUUUAGGAUAAAGUCCAAACGUAAUUCCACAACAGGGAUAUAACAUUCAAAUCAACUACAGAACUUCUGUAAUUAUAUAAAACCCCACGACCACAGAAAUGCAAUUGAAUUGAAGACACUUUGCAAUAUUCCCCAAGAAAGGACUGUGUGGCUGUCAGAUUAACAAAAGUCAAGAGGUGGUGAGACAAUGCUCACCAUUGCAAAAAAGAGCUUUGUGCAUAAUG
rnacentral:lncRNA from 1 species